AUUGGCGGAAGACCACGAGGACUUCGUCUCAUCCGUUGAAGAACUCCGAGGGACAUGAAGAAUCCGGCAUGGUCCCUCAAACAAGUUAAAUUGCUGAUGCAAAACAAUGUCUCAGAAGUUCAGCCAGCUUGUUCACCUUUUCUGCAAACUUCCUUCGAGGGGUGGACAACCUGGUUGCAAAAGCGGAACCCUUCUAAGAAACGAACGCAAAGAGACAUAACCGGUGUUAUGGGAACAGGAUUGGGAAUCUUAAAUAGUAUUGAUUCAGAAGUACUAAUGAAUAAAUUGGCUGCCACAACUACAGAUUUGACUAAAAUACAACAACCACUACAGUCAUCCCUAUUAGCCUUGGGAAGCCAUCAGUGGUUGUUAUCAAACAUAUUACCAAAUUGGGAAAAGGUAAAUGUGAAUGACCACAAAUUGAUAAUUGACGCACUCGAUGCUACACAAAACAACAUUUCUUUGGCUCUCAGCUGCAUCCAGGCUCAAUUAUGGAUGCAGUCAGUUGCUGCCUCAAUUAUAAGAGAAGGCGAAGAAGGCACUUUUCCUACUGAAAUUCGGAAAAUCAUCUGGGACAGUGCCACUGAUUUUGAAAGAGAAUUCCAAUCCUGGUGGAACUUAGUAAAUUUUACCUACGAUCCCCUCACAAACACAGCCACAGCCUUUGUUCUAACCAUACGUAAUGCUUCAGUGCAUUUGAUAUUCCCUGUCAUUGCAUUAGGGCUGAACCAUGAUGGAGCUGUUCUCUAUCCUUUCGAGCAUAGAGAAUGGGCCCGUCAAAUUGGUGAGAAGUGGCAAACUGUUAAUUUAGAAACUUGUAUUGUCCGA